rnacentral:rRNA from 1 species
CCUACGAGGGGCAGCAGUGAGGAAUAUUGGGCAAUGGACGAGAGUCUGAACCAGCCAAGUCGCGUGAAGGAUGACUGCACUAUGGGUUGUAAACUUCUUUUAUAUGGGAAUAAAAUGUUCCACGUGUGGGCUUUUGUAUGUACCAUAAGAAUAAGGAUCGGCUAAAUCCGUGCCAGCAGCCGCGGUAAUACGGAGGAUCCGAGCGUUAUCCGGAUUUAUUGGGGUUAAAGGGAGCGUAGGUGGAUUGUUAAGUCAGUUGUGAAAGUUUGGGGUUCAACCGUGAAAUUGCAGUUGAAACUGGCAGUCUUGAGUACAGGAGAGGUAGGCGGAAUUCGUGGUGUAGCGGUGAAAUGCUUAGAUAGCACGAAGAACUCCGAUUGCGAAGGCAGCUCACUGGACUGCAACUGACACUGAGGCUCGAAAGUGUGGGUAUCAAACAGGAUUAGAUACCCUAGUAGUC